UGAUGAUUCAAAUCCUUUUCACUGUUCCAAGUGUGUCCCUCCAAAGGUGAGUGCUCAGUCAAAGAGGACAACCAUCCCUGACAGAGGAGGACCAUUUUUUGGACAAGGGUAUAUGAGUAGCUGCACUCCCCUGCUAGAACCUCCAAAGAAGCUGAUGUGAUUUUCAGGCCACCAGAUCUGGAACUAGAACCAUACUUGCCCAUUUGGUAUCCAUCUGU
rnacentral:snRNA from 1 species